UUUUCUUUUUUUUUUUUUAAUAUUCAGGGAGCAGAUCUUGCAGUUCAGCUGAACCCACAGUUCAGAGAAGCUCAAUAUCAACAUUCAACUAACGUGUGAGUGUUUGACGUACAGCAGCAGAAUAUUGCAAAGUGUUUCACAUUUGCUUCACGGCUCCUUUCAAAUGCUUUGCCAGCUCUGUGAAUCAACAUGGAAUCGGUACCCAAUAAAACACUAAAAGCCUGUGCUUAGACAUCCGUCACCCCAUAAACUACCGGCCGGUAAUCGAUCUCUGCAUAGACGUCUCAGUGAAUUCACUGCUGGGUACCUUUUAUUGUGAAGUGGAUUUGCUGGUGGGUCCCUCGGAAGGUGAGAGAUGAUAUAUCCUUAGAGGCUGCGGUGCUCCCGGUAAAGCAAUGCAACAUAAUUUUCAUUUGACUUUGUCUCCACUGUGUCAAAUAUUGUGCAGCUCAAACCUGCAGGUGCAAACAGGACGAUGAGUCUAUUUAUCAGUUCAGUAUAUCAGU